rnacentral:rRNA from 1 species
GGAAUAUUGGACAAUGGGCGAAAGCCUGAUCCAGCAACGCCGCGUGACUGAUGAAGCCCCUCGGGGUGUAAAAGUCUUUCAGCGGGGACAAUGAUGAUGGUACCCGCAGAAGCAGCUGCGGCUAACUACGUGCCAGCAGCCGCGGUAAUACGUAGGCAGCUAGCGUUGUUCGGAAUUACUGGGCGUAAAGCGAGUGUAGGCGGUCUGCCAAGUCCGUUGUGAAAUCUCCCGGCUCAACUGGGAGGGUGCGGCGGAAACUGGCAGGCUAGAGUGCGGAGGGGGAGAGUGGAAUUCCUGGUGUAGCGGUGAAUGCGUAGAUAUCAGGAGGAACACCGGUGGUGGAGACGGCUCUCUGGGCCGCCGCUGACGCUGAGACUCGAAAGCGUGGGGAGCAAG